rnacentral:rRNA from 1 species
UGGGGAAUAUUGCACAAAUGGGCGAAAGCCUGAUGCAGCGACGCCGCGUGAGGGAUGACGGCCUCGGGUUGUAAACCUCUUUCAGCAGGGAAGAAGCGAAAGUGACGGUACCUGCAGAAGAAGCGCCGGCUAACUACGUGCCAGCAGCCGCGGUAAUACGUAGGGCGCAAGCGUUGUCCGGAAUUAUUGGGCGUAAAGAGCUCGUAGGCGGUUAGUCGCGUCUGCUGUGAAAACUCGAGGCUCAACCUCGGGCUUGCAGUGGGUACGGGCUGACUAGAGUGCGGUAGGGGUGACUGGAAUUCCUGGUGUAGCGGUGGAAUGCGCAGAUAUCAGGAGGAACACCGAUGGCGAAGGCAGGUCACUGGGCCGCAACUGACGCUGAGGAGCGAAAGCAUGGGGAGCGAACAGGAUUAGAUACCCCUGGUAGUCCAUGCCGUAAACGUUGGGCACUAGGUGUGGGGUCCAUUUCCACGGAUUCCGUGCCGCAGCAAACGCAUUAAGUGCCCCGCCUGGGGAGUACGGCCGCAAGGCUAAAACUCAAAGGAAUUGACGGGGUCAUAGCUGUUUCCU